ACUCCCCUAUAACCAAUUUGGAAAGAACAUUUGAAAUCCGUAUCAUCCGGACUGGUACUUUAACAGUAUAAAGUGAGUGUUGGCAGAGCUUAGCUGAACACGAUAAAGCCUGGCAAGCAGUUUUUGUCCCAGGAGGUUCAACGUUCGAAUCCUUCCUGGUGCCAAAUUUAAAAACAAGACAUACAUGUUGAAGGGGUGGUGUUGGGUGAUUGAAGGUGGCAUUGAGGCAUAUAAGUAUCGGCAUUCCCUUCCAAAAUUGGCUCAAGCUGAAGGAAGCCCAAAAAGAUAAUAAUUUGUGUGCGAAGUGGCAGGCUGGCUGCCAUGGAACACAUUCUUUUCGAAAUUGAGAGGAUGCUGGGUGAUCCUCCUCUCUCUGAAAAGUCUCUAGUCAACAUUUUGCAGGAAGCUGCAGGAUGUUUGUUUAAGGUUGAGCAGUCACCUUCCGCUGCUGUUUUAACAACAAUAAAAACAUUAGGCCAUGCAUUAAUUAGGCCAGAUAUUUUUCAACGUGAUGAUAGGGAUGUCAGGCUUCUAGUAGUUGCUUGUAUCAGUGAGAUAAUGAGAAUUACAGCACCGGAUACACCAUACAGUGAUGAUGUUCUAAGGGAGAUAUUUCAGCAGAUGGUUGCCAUUUUUCAUGAAUUACACAACAUUAACAAUAUUUCAUUUUCAAGGAUUGUUGCAAUUCUAGAAACUGUUGCAAAAGUUAGAUCAUGUGUUCUGAUGUUGGACCUUCAGUGUGAUGAGCUAAUCUUGAAAAUGUUUAACAUGUUCUUUUCCAUUGCCAGAGAAGAUCACCCAGACAGUGUACUUGCAUUGAUGGAAACAAUAAUGAUUUCAGUUCUUGAUGAGAGUGAAAUAAUUUCAGAGCAGUUAUUAUUUGCCCUAUUAAGCAGAUUAAGAAGAGCAAACAGGGAAAGGUGUCCAGCUGCCUAUAGAAUAGCAGGGAAUGUAGUGAAAUGCUUGGCGGGCAAGCUUAAACUAAAUGUGCAUCUGUUUCUUACCUCGCUUAUGUCACCAGAAAGAAAAUCUGAACGCAAUCUAUACAAUGAUUAUGAUGAGAUUAUCUUUGGCAUUUAUAAGUGUGCACCCGAGAUGUUGGAGUCUCUUAUUCCACAUUUGACUCAGUUUCUUCUGACAGAACAAUUGGAUGUGCGGUUAAAUUAUGUAAAUCUUGUUGGACGCCUCCUCUCCAUUCCAUGUCCUCUUUCAGAAGAGUUCCAACCACUUGUCUCUGAAUUUUUAAAGAGAUUUGGAGAUAAGGCUGUUGAUGUUCGCUUAGCAGUGGUUGAACAUGGAAAGAAGUGCCUAUUGUCAAAUCCUUUCAGGCCUGACGCUCCUUAUAUUAUUGCUGCUCUCGGUGAACGGCUAUUGGAUUUUGAGGAAGCUGUUCGGAAGAAUGUUGUGGCAGCAAUUUGUGAUGUAGCAAAGUGUAACCUAAAAGCUAUUCCUUCUGAUACAAUUCGACAAGUUGCAGAUUGCCUUCAUGACAAAAUAGUUUCUGUUCGGAUCUACUCAUUGGAUAAGCUUACAGAACUUUAUAAAGUUUAUUGUUCAAACUGCUCGGGUGACUAUGUUAGUAGCUUUGAGUUAGAUUGGAUUCCUGGAGAAGUUCUGAGAUCUUGUUCUGAAAAGGAUUUCAGGCCUCAAACAGAUGAAUUGGAUUUCUUUGAAUCAAUUUAUCCUUCUGAUCUUCCACUUGCAGAAAGGGUGAAACGUUGGAUUGCAUCUUUUUCUCAAUUGGAAAAAGCUGAGGUCAAAGCUUUGGGAAAAAUUCUGGCUCAAAAGCAAAGUUUCCAAUUAAAAAUGAAAAGUUUUCUGUCAUCCUGCAGAAAAAUGAAGGAAGAUAAUUCGGCAGAGCUGCAAAUUAAGAUUUGUAGUUGUUUCAGAAAAAUGUCAGGAUCAUUUGAAGAUCCUGCCAAAGCCGAGGAAAGCUUUUUAAAUUUGUUCCAAAUAAAUAAUGAUAAUAUUUGGAAAGAUUUAUCAAGUUUACUUGAUCCGGGCCUGUCUUUUAUAAAUGCUCAAUCCAUGCGUGAUGACUUGCUUGAGCAGCUUGGUGAGAGGCAUCCUCUAUACGAGUUUAUGAAGAUACUUACUGCUAGAUGUUCUUAUUUACUUUUUGGCAAAGAGCAUGUGAGGGAAAUACUUAAUGAGAUUUCCUCGAAUAAGCUAGCUGGGAAUGACAACAUUGUUUUGUCAAGCAUGAACCUACUUGUGUUUUUUGCUGGAAUUUUCCCUUCUACUAUUGAGGGUUCAGAAAAAGAUUUACUUCAGCUGCUUGAAAAUGAUGAUGAUCAAAUUAAAGAGGGAGUUGUAUGCAUUCUGUCAAAGACAGGCAGGAUUAUCGACAAAAACAUGUUUGAGAUAAGUGGCUCAACAGAUUUUCUGCUCAAAAACUUGUGCUUAGAGGAUAGUACAAAGCAGGCAAAGGAUGCAGAGAAAGCUAUCACAGAAACAAUUAGGGAUUCUGGAUUACAUGCACUUUCUGCACUAUACAAGAGGCUUGUUGUUAUGUUGGAGAAUGGAGACCAUUUACCAAAGGUAUUGCAAUUGCUGGGUUGCAUUGCUCAGAUUGCAAUGCCAGUUUUUGAGACUGAAGAAGAGAGAAUAAUCCAGUUUAUUUGUCGCAAACUUCUUCACAAAAGCAGCAAUCCGGCUGAUCUUUGCAAAACAGAAUGGGAAGACAGGAGUGAAAUAUGCUUUUUGAAGUUAUGCGGUAUCAAAACACUUGUAAAAAGUUAUCUACCUAACAAGGAUGCACAAUUAAGGAAAAGGAUAAAAGCUUUGUUUGGAGUGCUUACAAGACUUAUCAGUGCUGGUGAAAUAUCUGAAGAUGUGAAGUCCAGCAAGGUUGACAAAGCUCAUCUAAGGCUUGCUGCUGCGAUAGCAGUUUUGCGGCUUUCCAUGCAGUGGGAUUCUUGUGUGUCUCCCCAGCUUUUUCAUUUGACACUGCGAACUGCACAGGAUGUUUGCCCUUAUGUGAGGAAACAGUUUCUUGUUAAGGUGCAUCAAUACCUGAAAAACAAGAAUCUUGAAAGUAAAUAUGCUUGUGCAUUCAUUCUCAUAACACCAGUGGCAACUAAACAUGAAAUUUUAGAGACUAGACAAUACUUUGCUGAAUUUAUCAAGACAAUUCAUCAAGAGACUCAAUUGAGUCAAUUGUGUUCAAAUUCAUAUGAAGAUUCCCUGGCAAAUAUGUUGAGUUAUUUGAUCCACACUCUAGCACACCAUCCUGAUUUUCCAGUUUCUGACUAUGGUCCAAGAGGAGAAGCAUUUGAGCCAUUUUAUCAGCAGCUGCACUUUUUUCUUUCAGUAGUACUGCAGCAAGAUCAAAGCAGACAAUGUGAUCCAAAGGAAGUAAAGGAACUCAAUAGCAUUCCCUUAUUCAUGACAAUCUUUCGAACCAUUAAGAUAUUAGAAGACACAGUUGAGAAAUCUAAGUCAGAGAACCUUUAUAUCUUGUGUGACCUUGGCCUCUUGAUUACGAAGGAUUUGACAGAUAAAGAGGGCAAUGUUGGAAAAUGUACAAUGUCAGUAUCAUUUCCAUCAUACUACAGGACUUCAGAAGGGAGUGAAGACGUCCAUUUAAAGGUUGAUGGGAGCCAUUUACCUCCCUGUCUUGUUGGAGAUGACGUAUUAAGACAUUUCAAGUCUGCAACUCUAUUCCCAGAGGCAGAUAAGGACUGUGGUAAUGCAUAUGAGAAUGCCGCCAAAUGUCAAUAUGGGAAUAGCAAAGUACAAUUUUUGAAGAAUACCAGAAGGAAAGGAGCCAAACAAAGCAGAAAUGAUUGUAUACCUGGUGAAACAAUAUGUCCAGAAAUGCUUAAAGAACAGCUAGAUUAUAGUAGUGAAACACAGAAAAAAUCAGUAGUUCUUUCUAAAUUUAAGGAUUAUAAACAAAUAAAAAAUUCAGAAUCUAAAAAGGAUUUUGAGCAAUUUAAGGAGCAACCAAAGAACAAAAUACUUGAAAUGGUACCCAGUAAAUUCAAGUCAGCUGAUGAUAAUGUUGUGAUGUGUGUUGGAGAAGUGUCAGACAUUCCUAAAAGGAGACGAGGCCGACCAAAGAAGGGGGUAGCAAAUAAGGUUUCCCAAGGGAAAAGACAAAUCGUUGUAGGUAAGGAUAACAAUGGGCUCAAAAUAUCUCAAGCUAAGCUAAGGCGAGAAACAAUUGAUGGAUAUAAAGAAGAUGUCGAAAAAGGAACAGGAUCACUAGAUUCAAAGUUAGUAAGAUCUGAAAGUGUACAUAAUGAUCUUUCUAAAAUAGCAUUGUUGCAUCAAAGCAGAACAGAAGGAUGCUUUAAAAGCCUAGGGAAAAGAUCCAUUUCUGAAAGAAGAAUAGUGUUAUCAGAUUUGACAACAGUGGAGUCUGAAAGAUUAUCACAGGGGAUUCUGGGAGGAGAAUUGGGACCUAUGCAGCUGGUAGAACAUAUGGGUUCUGGACAGUCUUCAGCCAAGGAUUCAAAGAAAAGGUUAAUUUCCAUUCAGGAUAAUAAUGAAGUUGCAGAAGCACCGGUUUCUCCCAAAAGAAAACGAGAUUGUUUGAGUAAAGUAACAACUGAUUUGAUCUCCGAUGGUUCUAGACAAGGCUUGGCAGGAAUGGAUCCUAAAAUGUUGAAGGUGUCUCAACCUAAUCAAAAGCAUGAAAGAAGCUCUGAUUACAAAUCAGAUGUCCAAAGAAAAACAGAGUUACCUGAUUCAAAAUUAUUUGCCUCUGAAACCACACAGUAUUGUAUUUCUGAAACAGCAUUUAUAUCUCUCAAUGUUUUGGAUACCUAUAAGAUGAAACAAGAUCAAUAUAAUAAGGACUCAUCAGAGUUGCCUUAUUCGGACCAGCAGCAAGAUCCAUCAGAAAGUUUCUCAAAAGGUUUAGAGUCUCCCCAUCACAGGCAAGGGGUUCCAAAAGAAUUGGGCGAAAGAUCCAAUUCUAAAGGAAAAAUCAAGUUACCAGAUUUGAAAACAGUGAGUAUUGAAAGAGUAUUAGAUGGAUUCUUGGGCUCAGAGUUGAAUCUCACCAAUAUGCAAUUAAAAGAAAUUAAAGGUUCUAUGCAUAAGUUGCCCAAAAGUAUAAAGAGUAAACUGGAUGCCAGUCACAAAAAUAAUUCAGAAAAAAUGAUAGCAAAUGAAGGCAAGACAGCUGAGACUAAUGUUAUGACAGUCAUUGCAGAAGCAUUAGUCUCUUCAAAGAGAAAACGAGACCAGUUAAGUAAGAGGGCAGUAGUAGAUUUUACCUCCCAAGACACCAGAGAAGGCUUGUCAGGGAUGGAUUCUAAGUCUUUAAAGCUCUCUCAACAUAAGCAAGAGCAUCAAAGAAGUUUAAGAUGCAAAACAGAUGUUGUAAAGAACAAAAAAUUGGCACAUUCAAAAUUAGAAAACUCCAGAAUUGCAGCAGAUGAUAUUUCUCUUAUAACAUCAAUACCAAAUAGUGAUGAGCAAAUCGAAAGAGAUAAAUCGUCUUUGCAAAGAUCAUCAAUGUGUCAAAAUAAAUUAAACUCAAAAAUUUCUAUGAAUGCAAAGCACAAGGAUGUGUGGAAAAGUUCAGAGGAAAGGCCUGGCCAAUUUAUAGUUGCCUGUCAUAAUAAUGUUUCCAAAACCAUGAGGUCGUUGAAUAACUCGAUAUUAGAAAAUGCACCUAGUGAAGUCAAAUCAGUUGAUGAUAAUAUCAUAAUGUCUGUUGCAGAAGUCCAGUUCCCUCCUAAACGAAAACGAGGCCGACCACGAAAGAGGACAGAAGAUUUAAGACAUCUAGGAAAUACACAAGGCCUCACAGGGAAGGAUUCUAAUGGACUGAGGACUUCUCAGCCCAUGCAAAGUAACCAGAAAAGUUUGGUAUACAACCCAGGUUUCCAAAAGGAAACAGAAUUACCAGAUUUGAAAUUAGUAGCAUCUGAGGUUAGCUAUAUAUGCAAGACAAAAGAAGACCAUUCAAGGGAAGAAUUGACAGGGCUGCAUUCUACAGAUCAGGAGCAAGGUACACUAGAGAGGAGUCCCACUGGUUCAGGGCUUUCUCAUUGCAGGCGAGGCCGACGAAAAGGUUCAGGCAAAAGAUUCAAUUUCAAAGGUAAAACUAAAUCAGCAGACUUAAAAAAAGUAACAGCUCAAAGAGUUCUAGAAGAGAUUUUAGAAGUAGAAUUGGCUCCUAGCAAUGGGAAGCCAAAAGAAAACAAAGGCUCAGAACAGAUUUUAACAAAGGAUUUGAAGAAGAGGUCAGGUGCCAGUCGUGAUAAAUCCUCAAAAACAAUGGAUAUGUUUCAAUUAGGAAGUCCAAAGGUUUCUACAAAAUUUCAAAGUCCAAGUUCAAAGAGAAAAAAUGUGUCCCUGAAAAAAGAGAUACAUAGAAAUCAAUUGAAGUCUGAAAAGAAGCGAUUACAAAAGAAUGAAUACAAUCUCAGCGGGGUUCCAAGAAAACAUUUCAACAAGAAAAACACAUCCAGAAUUGAAGAGGUGUAUGAAAGUCCAUCAACGAAGCUCUUCCCAUUGGAGAGUACUGGCAGUAAAUUUGAGGAAAAAGAUGAAGGGGGGGAUUUGCUGGGACAAAGAAUUAAAGUUUGGUGGCCACUAGAUAAAAAGAGGCUUAUUCCCAUUCCGGAGGUCAGAAGUGUCCAGGAUUGCUCUUCGUUUGGUUCAGUUUGGCUUUCGUUUGACUCUAUUUCACACACUUACUAUUUAUAGUAAGUCAGAGGUUGAUCGAGGACCCUUUCUAUUUUUAGCAUAGCAUUUGGUCACAUGGUGAUUAGCAAUGUUGACUCCCAUUUCAGAUGACAGAGAAAAAUAAUGAGCAUUUAAGGAGAUAUUAAUGUUUUAAUGGCUCAUAUUAUAAUUAAAUAAUUAAAGGUGUCAUUAUAAUGUUAUAACUUAACAUUAUAACUUGAGGGUCAACUCAUCAUAAAAGGGGGCCAUUUAUUCAAUUAAAUAUGGGGAUCCAAUAUUAAUUAAAUGUUAAAAGAUUUCCUAAGUAUGAAAUGAAAUAACAUUUUAAAUGUUAUUAAAAUGCUUUUUCCUUGGGGAUCGAACUUAUGAGUAUAUGUGUCUUCAAGUCAAAAUCGAUUUCAUUCUAUUGAGCUAUUUUCUUCAUUUCAUGAAUUGUGAGGAGAAGCCAAGGGUUUCUCUGUAGUCAGCCAUUGGAGAGCGUCAAUUCUUCAGUGUUGCAGCCAUUUGAGGUGGUGAGAUAUCCAUUGAAUUUGGAAUACAAGAGAGCUUCAUACAGAAGUUCUAUUUGGGCAAAUUGGAGGGUAAUACAGAGAGUUUUUAUCAGCAGAUUGAAGAAGUUUAAUAAUCAGAUUGAAGAGCAAGAUUUGCACAGGCCUUUGCAAGGUGUUGGCAUUCCUUAACAGGCCAUACAGUUGUUGUAUAUCCCAGGCGUACCUCAUGUGAGCCAUGUGCCCUGGGGUUAGUUCGAUUUCGGCAUUAAAGACCACCAAAAAUUCUGAAUAAAUUAGAGAAGCAUUGCUGGGAAGUUGGGAGUCUAGGCGCCUCAUCAUUGAAGACAAGAGCAAGGUCAUUAAGAGGAAUCGAUCCACCUAUGUGGGCUGCCGUCAUUUCCAGGUUCUAUGUUGGAUUUGUGGACUCGUAUGAUAACAAACAAAAGAAGCAUAAAAUAAUUUAUGACGACGGGGACGUUGAAAUGCUGAGGCUUCGAAAGGAGCAAUGGGAACGUAUUGAUGGUAGUUCCAUUCCCACG